UACGUAGGGGGCAAGCGUUGUCCGGAAUUAUUGGGCGUAAAGAGCGCGUAGGCGGUCCGAUAAGUCGGCUGUGAAAGUCAGGGGCUCAACCCUUGAAAGCCGGCCGAUACUGUCGGACUAGAGUCCGGAAGAGGCAAGUGGAAUUCCCGGUGUAGCGGUGAAAUGCGCAGAUAUCAGGAGGAACACCGGUGGCGAAGGCGGAUCUCUGGGCCAUUACUGACGCUGAGGAGCGAAAGCGUGGGGAGCGAACAGG
rnacentral:rRNA from 1 species